UACGUAGGUGGCAAGCGUUGUCCGGAUUUACUGGGCGUAAAGAGCGCGCAGGCGGUCGUUCAAGUCGAGUGUGAAAGCCCCCGGCUCAACUGGGGAGGGUCACUCGAUACUGAUCGACUCGAAGGCAGGAGAGGGUAGUGGAAUUCCCGGUGUAGUGGUGAAAUGCGUAGAUAUCGGGAGGAACACCAGUGGCGAAGGCGACUACCUGGCCUGUUCUUGACGCUGAGGCGCGAAAGCUAGGGGAGCAAACGGG
rnacentral:rRNA from 1 species